CUUGCCCGUAACUGACACCGCUCCCCCCGCACACACCCGCUCGCCCAGCCGGAAGCUGGGGCAACGCGACUUCCGGAAACCUUCCUCUUCGUUUAAUUGGCUUCCUCUCUUACGAAAGGGCCACCACCAGUGGUUUGAGGACUAAUCAUCAAUUUAAUGACUUGGCCGGAAGGCGAGAAACGCCCACGCUCCAUGUACACGUUGGCUGCCCUAACGUCCUCAUUUCACAAACGGUCAGACACAGAGAAAAGGUGCCUUUGUACCCUCCAGAGUUCGCAUUUUGUUGCUGCCUUGGCUGGUGAGGCCGCGCUCUCUCACCUCCUGUUGGGGCUCCCUCCACUCCGCGAGUUCCUGAAGGUCAAGACCAGGUUCUCCGUGUCUUGCCCCCCCCUCCCCCCGCUCGUGUCACUAGAGCAAGGGUCAGCAGAGGGGGUGCCCCUGCCGGCAUCCCUGUGUCCUCUGAGCUGGGGCUUUGCUGGGGCUUGGGGCAGAAGGGCUAUGCACACGUGCCUGGCAGCUGCCACUCAGCCCGGCUUCAGUGGGGCCCUGGAUGGAUGACAGCUCUACGUAACUAAUGGCAAGCAAAGUCCCCUUUGCUUUUUCCAAUGGGUGGCAGUUGCUUCAUGGCUGCUGCCGUGUCUUCCGACGUUUUUGUGAUUACCGUGACCCUUAUUGUAUAGACCACAAUUUUGGGUCGGAUAUAAGCAAUAUUUGUACCUUGUCCGGCUUUCAGAGGCACUCAUAAAGACCAGUGUUUAGAUGGCUGCAUGUUGCAGCUUCAUUUUUUCCUGCUGAUGGGGACAGAGCGAAGAGAUUUAAGAUAUCAUGAUGUUGAUGAGUCUGUGAUGGUUUGGAGCAGCUUCACCCAGGAGCAUACCGUCUUGACAAAAAAUGAGAACUUUGGGACCCAGGGGAGAACAAACCAGACAAGGGUCCAGCUGCGGCCAUGACCGAGCCUUCUGGUAGCUGAGUCUGUGCCUCCAUGUAGCCAAGGGCAGCCGACACACCUUGAUGCAGGUGAUGAUAGUGCAGCCCAGGUGGCAAGGCCAAGUCAUGUCCUGUGAAGAGCAAAGCCUAAGCAGGGCUCUGGCCUGGAGGGGGCACGGUGUUUGGUAUCUUGGCUGCACUGUGUGCUUCUCAGGGUGCCUGCGCCUCUUGAACUGGUCUUGUGCCAACCUGUGCAAGAGCAGCAAUGUUGGGGUCCUCCAAGUUGGAAGGAGGCCUGAUUUGGGGAAGGCCCGAGAUCCCCAGUUUCUGUGGGGUUGGUCUCGGAACACAGGUUCACUGAACACCUCUGCAGGCCUCGGCUUGGAGGGGAGGCCUGGUGUGGAUCUCCUUCCAAGGGUCCCCUCACGUAUCUUCCAGAGGCAGCUCCAGAGAGAGGCCCCGAGGCUGUUCACCCUGCACCCAGGGCCCUGCACUGGAAUGUGCCCUUGUGACAGUGGCUCUGGCAUCUCUCAGGACCAGCACAGCGGCUCCAGGGCAUCCUCCGGGCAUUUCUCCUUCUCUGAGAAGCUGCCCAUUAAAUCUCGUUUGAAGUACUGA